GCCGGUGGCUUGGAGCGACUCCAGAUUUGGUAUUCUGGCUGUCGAGGGUUCGAUUCCCUCCACCGGCU
rnacentral:tRNA from 1 species